rnacentral:rRNA from 1 species
CCCUGCCAUUUGUACACACCGCCCGUCGCACCUACCGAUUGAAUGGUCCGGUGAAAUCUUCGGAUUUCUAUUUGUUUGAUUUAUUUUGAAUGAAUGGAGAAAAGUUGAGUAAACCUUACCAUUUAGAGGAAGGU